GGACCAUCCUGGAGGCUGCCUUUCUGGUUUCAUCUCCCAUCACUCUCCUCCUCUCUCCUCCCCACGGACCUGGUCACCACUGUAUUCCCAGUGCUGAGAAUAGUACCUGCAAAUAAUAGGUGCUCACUAGGUAUCUUUCAACGAAUGAAUGAUUAGUGAAUUCUGUAUAACAUUCAAGUGAAUUUCUGAGGAUAUACCACCAGAAAGCACAUUCUUUAAUUUCUCCUUGACCUAGGCAUGACCACCGGGAUGUGAGGAAGACCAGGAUAACCUGCUAAGGAAUGAAAAGCCAUAAGAGGAGAACCAUGUGUCUCAGUGAACAGCCAGCACCAAUUGCCAGAUAUGUGAGUGAUCCAUCUGGACUCUCAACUCCCAGUCCAGCUGUCAGAUGACCGCAGCCACAGGAGUGAUCCCAGCAAAGACCAGCAGAAGGCCCUCCCAGAUGGCCAACCCACAGAAUCAUGACAAUCAGUAAACUCCUGUUUUAAGCCAUUGACUUAUUGUAUCACAAUAAUAGAUGAGUGAAGCAGCC
rnacentral:lncRNA from 1 species